GACGAACGCUGGCGGCGUGCUUAACACAUGCAAGUCGAACGGAAAGGCCCUGCUUUUGUGGGGUGCUCGAUUGGCGAACGGGUGAGUAACACGUGAGUAACCUGCCCUUGACUUUGGGAUAACUUCAGGAAACUGGGGCUAAUACCGGAUAGGAGCUCCUGCUCCAUGGUGGGGGUUGGAAAGUUUCGGCGGUUGGGGAUGGACUCGCGGCUUAUCAGCUUGUUUGUGGGGUAGUGGCUGACCAAGGCUUUGACGGGUAGCCGGCCUGAGAGGGUGACCGGCGACAUUGGGACUGAGAUACGGCGCAGACUCCUACGGGAGGCAGCAGUGGAGAAUAUGACACAAUGGGCGGAAGCCUGAUGCAGCAGCGCCGCGUGCGGGAUGACGGCCUUCGGGUUGUAAACCGCUUUGGCCUGUGACGAAGCGUGAGUGACGGUAAUGGGUAAAGAAGCACCGGCUAACUACGUG
rnacentral:rRNA from 1 species